rnacentral:misc_RNA from 1 species
AACGCACAUUGCGCCCUUUGGUAUUCCGAAGGGCAUGCCUGUUCGAGCGUCAUUAUCACCUCUCAAGCCUGGCUUGCUGUUGGACUGUAGGUAUUGUUUAUGCAUAACCAGUCCCAAAGAUAAUGACGGCGUCUGUGAAGACCCUAGUACACUGAGCUAUUCAUUUGGCAAGUAUUAGAGGGAGUCCAGGCCCGGUCUUACUUAUAUUUUUCUAAAGGUUGACCUCGGAUCAGGUAGGAAUACCCGCUGAACUUAA